AGAGCGAACGCUGGCGGCAGGCCUAAUACAUGCAAGUCGAACGGCUCUUCGGAGCAGUGGCGGACGGGUGAGUAACGCGUGGGAAUGUGCCCUUUGGUACGGAACAACUGAGGGAAACUUCAGCUAAUACCGUAUGUGCCCUUCGGGGGAAAGAUUUAUUGCCAUUGGAGCAGCCCGCGUUGGAUUAGCUAGUUGGUGGGGUAAAGGCCCACCAAGGCGACGAUCCAUAGCUGGUCUGAGAGGAUGAUCAGCCACACUGGGACUGAGACACGGCCCAGACUCCUACGGGAGGCAGCAGUAGGGAAUCUUGCGCAAUGGGCGAAAGCCUGACGCAGCCAUGCCGCGUGAAUGAUGAAGGUCUUAGAUUGUAAAAUUCUUCGACCGGGAAGAUAAUGACGGUACCGGAGAAGAACGCCCGGACAACUUCGUGCCAGCAGCCGC
rnacentral:rRNA from 1 species